UGGAUGAUGUGGAUUAAUUCGAUGCAACGCGAAAAACCUUACCUACCCUUGACAUGCCAGGAACUUUCCAGAGAUGGAUUGGUGCCCGAAAGGGAGCCUGGACACAGGUGCUGCAUGGCUGUCGUCAGCUCGUGUCGUGAGAUGUUGGGUUAAGUCCCGCAACGAGCGCAACCCUUGUCAUUAAUUGCCAUCAUUUAGUUGGGCACUUUAAUGAGACUGCCGGUGACAAACCGGAGGAAGGUGGGGAUGACGUCAAGUCCUCAUGGCCCUUAUGGGUAGGGCUUCACACGUCAUACAAUGGUCGGUACAGAGGGCUGCCAAACCGCGAGGUGGAGCUAACCCCAGAAAACCGAUCGUAGUCCGGAUCGCAGUCUGCAACUCGACUGCGUGAAGCUGGAAUCGCUAGUAAUCGCGGAUCAGCAUGUCGCGGUGAAUACGUUCCCGGGUCUUGUACACACCGCCCGUCACACCAUGGGAGUGGGUUUUGCCAGAAGUAGGUAGCCUAACCGUAAGGAGGGCGCUUACCACGGCAGGAUUCAUGACUGGGGUGAAGUCGUAACAAG
rnacentral:rRNA from 1 species